CGGCGAGUGAAGCGGGAAGAGCUCAAGCUUGAAAUCUGGGGCGCUUGCGUCUACAGAAUUGUAGUUGAGAGAAGUGCUUUCACCGGGACGAGCGAUGGCCUAAGUUGCUUGGAACAGCACGUCAUAGAGGGUGAGAAUCCCGUCUGUGGUUGGUCGGUCCCUCGGAACGAUGCACUUUCGAAGAGUCGGGUUGUUUGGGAAUGCAGCCCAAAAUGGGUGGUAAACUCCAUCUAAAGCUAAAUACUGCCACGAGACCGAUAGCGAACAAGUACCGUGAGGGAAAGAUGAAAAGCACUUUGAAAAGAGAGUUAAAAGCACGUGAAACCGUUGAAAGGGAAACGCGCUCGGCUAGCAAUGCGCGCCUGUGGUUCAGCCGGCUAGUCUUGUCGAGUCGUCGUUGGAUGGAUCCGAAUGGACUGUCCGCGGCGGCGGCGGUGGGCGAGCUAUGGUGCACUCCAUGGGCGUGCGCGUCAGCGUCGGUUCUCGACGGACGACGAGGUGCGUGGGAAAGGUAGCUCGGCCUUCGGGCCGAGUGUUAUAGACCCGUGCGCUGGGUUCGUCGUGGGACCGAGGAGAGAGAUGAUCGCUGCGGCACCUGCCUCUCGGGGCUAGCCAGCUGUUGUCAGAUGUGCGCCAGAUGCCGAGGACUGCACGCAGUGCUUGGUGUCGAGGCGUGAUCUGGUGGCGGUGUGGGUAUAGAGGUGCCUAGGACGCUGGCGUCCAAAUGGCCGUGCGCGACCC
rnacentral:rRNA from 1 species